GAUGAACGCUGGCGGCGUGCUUAACACAUGCAAGUCGAACGGGAUCCAUCAGGCUUUGCUUGGUGGUGAGAGUGGCGAACGGGUGAGUAAUGCGUGACCGACCUGCCCCAUACACCGGAAUAGCUCCUGGAAACGGGUGGUAAUGCCGGAUGCUCCGACUCCUCGCAUGGGGUGUCGGGAAAGAUUUCAUCGGUAUGGGAUGGGGUCGCGUCCUAUCAGGUAGUCGGCGGGGUAACGGCCCACCGAGCCUACGACGGGUAGCCGGCCUGAGAGGGCGACCGGCCACAUUGGGACUGAGAUACGGCCCAGACUCCUACGGGAGGCAGCAGUGGGGAAUAUUGCACAAUGGGCGCAAGCCUGAUGCAGCGACGCCGCGUGCGGGAUGACGGCCUUCGGGUUGUAAACCGCUUUUGAUCGGGAGCAAGCCUUCGGGUGAGUGUAC
rnacentral:rRNA from 1 species